CUCCUUGCUCUUCUUUUCUUCGUGAACUUUAGCUUCAUACCUUGCCCUCGUGGGAGACUGAUUUUGGGGAUGAAGAAAAGCACAGCCCCAUAGCAUCAUGGGGGAAAACCUAUAAUUUCUAUAAUUUUUCCAGCUGUAAGCCUGAGAGAUGAAAACUUUCCAACAUUAUAAACAGGUUUACUAUAACCACCAGCAACUGGCCUGUGAGAGGAAGCUUGGCCAUGCCUUGAUGAGGCCCUUUGGAUCACAACAGCGAUGGAAUUCUUCUCUCUUAGAUAAUAAGGCAACAUGAUUUUCCUUGACAAGGCACUUCAUAUUGCCGUGAAGCCUUAACUGACCAUUCCAAUAAUACAUCUACAGAAAAGCAGCUACUAGAAUGACCUGGGAGUGGAUUCAGAAGAGAGAAGAGGCAAAGUAGUGUAUUGCAACCACUUCAUUCCUGUAUUAGGGGCAAAGAAGCCAUGCUAUCUUCCAAAACAGAUAUAUUGAGGUCACCAAUCUCUUUAACUUAACAAAGAAAGAAAA